rnacentral:rRNA from 1 species
UAAAAAAACAUUUCCUAUUAUUUUUUUCAAAUUUUACUUUUUAGUAAAAAGGCUAAAAUGCACCUUAAAGACAAGAAGACCCUGUAAAACUUAACAUUAAGUAAUUUCAAUAAUUCUUUUUAUGUUGAGCUGGGGCGGCGAAGAAUUCUAACAUUCUUAGAAUAUUAUAAUUAUUAUUAUUAUACCCAGAAAUUCUGAAAAUUAAAUAAGUUACUUCAGGGAUAACAGCGUUAUACACCUCAAAAGACCUUAUAAACAGGUGUGUUUGCGACCUCGAUGUUGGAUUAUGAUAUCUUUUUUCUGCAGAAGGAAAACAAGAAGGUCUGUUCGACCUUUAAUUUCACCCA